rnacentral:rRNA from 1 species
AUGUCAAUGCCAAUUGAAUCAAUGUUAUUAGCUGUCAAUUUGAACUUUUUGGUAUUUUCCGUUUCUUUGGAUGAUAUGAUGGGUCAAUCAUUUGCUUCAUUAGUUCCAACAGUGGCAGCUGCGGAAUCUGCUAUUGGAUUAGCCAUUUUCGUUAUUACUUUUCGAGUCCGAGGGACUAUUGCUGUCGAAUCUAUAAAUUGCAUUCAAGGUUAA